rnacentral:misc_RNA from 1 species
UUUGUGUAGUUAGGUCGUCAUACUUUAUUGGCUACGCGUUAACACAUAUAUGUACAUAUAUUUGCACUUGUACACACUGAAUCUGCUUUAUACUUAGUGUCCUCGCUUUAUCAUUAUCGAUUUCUCUUAAUUUUAACAUUCCCAAUUCAUUGAAAUAAAGUCUUUCGGCAAGCUCCAGCACACACAGAGGUGAAUGCAAAAAUGCGCAAUGUCAGCUAAGGGUAUAUGGCCACUGAAAUAAAUAAAUACAGUAACUAUUCCAAAAUCCGUGAGCAACAACAAGUGACUUCAGUUCGUCCUCCAAGUGCAUCAAGUGGUUUCUGGUAGUGCAUGUAUGUUUUCCAAUCGAUGUUUUGUGUGCGAUAAUAAAGUUUCGACUCCUGUUUUAAAAACUGAAAUUACCUCAAUUUCGAGACAGUCACCAGAAUUUUUACUUUUGUCAGAGUGCGCAAAUUCAAUUCUCACCUAAUUUCCAAUUUAGACACAGAAUCGGUGAUAAAAAAACAGACAAUUUGUGAUAAUCUAGCAGAAAGUGAUUGUGUAAUCUUAUAGUCAUAUUAAGAACAGGAAAUUUGCAUUGGAAUCUAGUUUUGAUUAGUUUUAGAAUAAAUACAUUAAGAAAGUUCCUCAGCAAAGUUUAAAUAAAAUUCCAUAUGGUACAUAUGAUUGAAAUUGUUCAUCCAGGGAAGGUGGACUUUCCUCAACAAGUAAUAAUGAACCGUCCUAUUCAAAUUAAACCAGAAGAAAACGAAAACCGUGGUGACUUAACAUUGAGUGUGAGGUUGAUGGGAAAGCAGUUUUGGUAUCUAAAAACACCUAGCGCAAUUUUAAGAUACCUACACCGCCGAAAAGAUUAAAGAGCUACUGAACAACCUUCACUUACAUGUAUUGUGAUUCUGAAUAUUGAUUGACUACGCAAUAUUUUUGGUUACCAAGUGUGUAUAGUGAGCAAGCUCGAAAGAUUAAGAGUCAUAGAGUGCACAGUCCUAAAUACGGAGCGAAGCUGGAAUAAUCAUAAAACAAAUUCAUGUUCGUUUAGUUUGUGAGUUCAACUUCAACAACUCCAAAUUAUUCACGAACAGCUAUAUUAUGAAAACAUCGCCAUAACAAAAGUUCCAAUAAAUAUACUAUAAAAGUGCUGUAGUGCACAAGAACUAAAUAAAAGUAAACAAAGUUAAUUGACGCGCAAGAUUGUUCGCAAUUACAUCUCAAUGAAGAUGAAUGUUGAAUGGAUCAAAAUAUUGUGCAUUAUUCAUGAAUUUUGAACAAGGAUGCACGAGCAACUUUGAGGUGCGUUUUUAGGCAAUUCAAUCACAUGACAACGGCAAUUCAAUAAGAAACUUGGUAUGGAAAAUAAAUUUUAUCGGCUACAUAGGCCUGGCUUAAAUGUGAUACGCUUGUAGUGCUUAUAUUUUUGAGAAAAGAAACAAAAUAAAACAAUACAAUAUCUGUAUAAUUAAAAAAUACUGCAUUCAAACAACAUCCCAAAUUUCUUCUGAAGAGGUUCACGCAUGUACAUGAAUAUACUUUGCCUGAUUAUAUUUCGAUAAAAAAAUGUAUCAAGAAUAUCAAUGUCACAAAUUCGUUAAUAAAUGGCGUUGCGUCUCCGUUGUUUCCAUAAAGUUACAUUGGAUUUUCAUAAAUGGCAUCAGUGCUUGAUACAGUGGUGAUUGAUUAAAUAUAUGCACUACUUGAAUUAUUUUUCUUUUCGGGAGAAUACUUUUCAAUGAAACGAAAAUUUUAAAUUCCGUUUGGCGAUUGCAUUAAAAUUGUAUCACAUUCAAAGUACAGGCACUCUUGAUGUUGUUCCGUACUUCUGUUGUUUGUAAUUUAGAAAGUCUAUUUAAUAUUUUCCAAUUCCAAUUCGUUUGCUUAUACACGUUGAAUGUUUUAAAUUCCCGCUCAAUAGGAGGAGGCGGCAUACAUAGAGAUCGGAAGCUAUUUGUUGGUAUGCUUAGCAAGCAGCAGACGGAAGACGAUGUAAGGCAGUUAUUUAACCCAUUCGGCGCUAUUGAAGAAUGUACAAUUCUUCGAGGACCAGACGGAACCAGUAAAGGGUGCGCCUUUGUCAAAUUUAGUUCGCAUCAGGAAGCCCAAUCAGCUAUCAGCAGUUUGCAUGGAAGUCAAACUAUGCCUGGUGCCUCUUCUAGCUUGGUAGUAAAAUUCGCUGACACAGAAAAAGAACGGCAACUUAGGCGAAUGCAACAGAUGGCGGGCCAUAUGAAUUUAUUGAAUCCAUUCGUUUUCAAUCAAUUUGGAGCUUAUGGUGCAUAUGCCCAGCAACAUCAGGCUGCACUAAUGGCAGCUGCUACUGCACAAGGAACAUACUUAAGUCCUAUGGCGGCUUUAGCAACACAAAUACCUCACGCACUGAACGGUUCUGCCCAACCUAUAAAUGGAACAAUACCAUCAUUACCAUCACCAACAAUGCCAACCUUCAAUCUUGCAACGCAAACUCCAAAUGGCCAACCAGGAACAACUGACAGUGUCUAUACAAAUGGGUUGCCGCAAACAUAUCCUGGUCCUCAUGCACUUCAUCUUUCCAUCCCAGCGCAGGGUCUUUCUAACGGUGACACAGCACUGCAGCACUCUGCUUAUACUGGUAUGCAACCUUAUGCCGGAGUUGCCUAUCCAGCCAUGUAUGGACAAUUCUCCCAGGCAAUACCGAAUCCAAUAGCAGCUGUAGCACCAACGCAACGAGAAGAUUUUCUGAUGUUCCCAGGAUGUUCUAUUUCGGGACCUGAAGGUUGCAAUCUGUUUAUCUACCACCUUCCACAAGAGUUUGGAGACGCAGAGCUAAUGCAGAUGUUUUUACCUUUUGGUAACGUUAUCAGUUCGAAAGUUUUCAUCGACCGGGCUACGAAUCAGAGCAAAUGCUUUGGUUUUGUGUCGUUCGACAACCCUGCCAGCGCUCAGGCUGCAAUCCAGGCAAUGAACGGUUUUCAGAUAGGCAUGAAGAGGCUAAAAGUUCAAUUGAAGCGGCCAAAAGACGCGAGUCGCCCUUAUUAACAACGAAACUAUCCGGUGGAAGAAAGUGUUAUUCAGCUGCCAGUGCAAAAGAAAAUGCUAUUAUUCUAAUGCGUAUUCGGCCAAAACCGCUAAUGAAUUUGUGAUGUUUCCACCUGUGACCCAUUGAAUAAAUCGGAUUUUCACUUAAGUAUUGGAAUUGAGCGCUAAUUAACCCGUAAAGAAUCAACUGAUCAAAUUUUAUGAUUACGGGAAGUGUUAAAAAAGUACCGACAUCCCAUUACACACAGCCCUGCGUAUUCGUAUAUUAUAUACUUUGGCGGCAUUGGUAGUUUCCAUACAAACAGCCAUAACGAACAAUUAGUACUAUAAAAGUCAACCUUCGGCAACGGGGUAAUAUUUCUGGCAUAAAAUUUCGGUUAAAUAAUUACCACAUUAACACAAUCAGUGCCCACCUUUGAGUAUACUAGUUAAAUAUAAUUUACAUUUUAAUACCUAUUGUAAACAGCAGGAUUGAAAUCAAUAAAAUAUUUAUAGGAAAAAUGAUGGUGUAAAAACAUUUAAACGUUUAUAAUUAAAUCAUAAACAUAAGUUACUUAUACAAUAAAUUUAUUAUUAAAUAUACAUACAACAAUUAUACAUAUUUUACUAAUUAUGAAACUAUUGAUCACCACCAAUAAGUUAAGGAAAAUGUCAUUUGUAAUUUACUUUUAAAGCAGAGGUAUAUUUUAAACACAAAUUGCUUUAUAUACUGAUAUCUUCGAAAUAUAUUUCUGAAAAACGUAUUUAUUAUUAGAAAAAUAAUGUACAAACGUAAAUUUUACAGCUAAGCCAAAUAUUACACAAUAUAUAAAUUUUUAAAUAACGGAAUUCUACUAGAAACAUAUUUUGUAAAAAUAUAAAUUAAACGACUAAAGUUUACAAUCGUAAAAUAAUCUAGGAGAAUUAGUCGCGUUAUUAAGAGAAUGAAAAACCAACAAAUAAAUUAACAAUACAAUAUUAUAUAUACCUACAUAUAAGGGUAAUGCAAAUUUAGCAAAUUGCGUGUUUUAACACGUAAAAACGAUAUUGAUUGCAGAAUUGGCAAUAAAACUUUCCUGCAGUAAAAGAUUUGAUUAUAUCCUAUUUGAUUGCUUGAUUUCUGUUCAUGAAUGGUUUUAUCAUAAGAACAUAUGUCAAUUUAUCCAAAUAACUGGUGAAACUAUUCAACCAUCGACCUUAGUGGUAAUAGAAAACAUUUGACUUCUAAACCUCCAGUAGUUAUUGAGUACUAUCAUUUCCGCAAAAGAAAAAAUGAUUGUUACAUCCAUAGCCGAUUAGCAAACGGAAAAAAAAUAGUUCCAGUUACCGAAAUAAAAUAAAGUUAAAUCUGAUCUAUUAUAUUCCACGAAUGGGCUGUGAUUUAAUUGUAAACAUAUAGAUCUUAGAACGAAGAAACCAAUUAAAUACAAUUUCGUCUACAGCGGCAUCUGCUCUUUAACAUUUUGAAUUUGUUUUUAACUUUGUUUCUGUUGUUCUUUAUAUUAAUGAAAACUUUAAACAGCAUGCUAACAUCUUACAGGAUCCCUUUCUAAUAAAUUGGGAAUAGUGUUGCCAAUUCUUGCCUUUUUAUGAAUAACCUAUUGAAAAGGAAAUCCUAUACCAUAACAAAUAGCCCAUAGCAUCCCACGUUGAAAUAUAAUUGUUGAAACUAAAAUGGGAAACUUAAACUUAGGGUGCGUUCUUACUGGAAACUCAACCAAGGGAAUCAAUUGAUUUACAUCGAUAUAUAGACUUACUUAUGCAGGUUAGUCAUACACUUUAGAAAGUCGUUCACCAAUGAAACGAUAAUUUAUUAAUGUUAACCAUAGUGGGCGAUAGAUAUACAUAAUCACAUUGAGUGUCAACAUAAUGAUUGCCCACAAAAAUAAUUGAGUUUUGCUUUCAACUUGAAUAUAUAUGUUACCUAGCUCAUUGUGAAUAAAUACGUCCAUCAUAUUAAUUUAAGUUUGUUUAUUUUUCAAAUUCUGAAUUCUUAUUUUACAUUUUUGAGUCAAUAUUCUGGGUUCAAAAAUUUUCUUUUACAGAUAUAUUUUGCAAUCUAAUAGAAACGUAACAAUUUCAAGUUCUGUCGAUUUAUAUUCUUAACUAUAGUAAUUGCAUAUUGAAAACACCUGAUAUGAACGUUGCCUUGUUCGUUUAUGCUGUAUCUUGUUGGGUUUCUAAUUUCAUUCUUCUUCUUUUUCUUUACCUGUUCACAAGCGGGGUCGGCUCUUCGUGAUUGAUUGCACCAUUUUAAUCUCUCAUUUGUCUGAUAUGGAUCAAAUCACUAUCCAGCGUAUCAAGCCACCUUUGUUUCAGUCGGCCUUGUGGUGGCUUAUCGUCCACUUGAUGUUCAAAACCAUCUUAGCGAGUAAAUUCUCCUUAGUAAAUUAUCCAUGCCAUCGAGGACGCCUCUCUCCCAAUUUUUUCACGAUCGGUGCAACCCUAUAUCGAUCGGAUGUGGUCAAAGCGUGCCAGGCCACUAGUGCAGGGCAGGAUCUUCGUCUCCAUUACUUCCAACUUCGUUGCCAACUAACAAUUAUGAAGUUCAAAUAUUUCUAUAAAAUUUGUUUCCUCUUGGCCUUAGAUCUGUGUUGAUUUAAUUUUGCUAAAUAAAUUAACAGAGGUGAGUAACAAAAUAACUACAGAACUUCAUUAUUACAUUCAUAAAAAAUAUAACAUUAAUAACAAUUUCUUCACCCUUUUCUUCCUUGGGAAAUUUUCCAAAAAUAAUCAUAAGAAGUUAGCUGAAUCAAGCCAGAAAGCAAAUGUUAUGUAUCUUUAACAAACAGUUUUGGAAAUGCUUCAUAAGAUCUAGAAACAUGAAAAUGAAAUACCUUUUACCAUCUAUUCUAUUCAUCUAUUUAUGCUAUCCACUGUUAUUUGCUGCUAGUUGAAAAGCCUGAUAGUCUACAAAUUCCGUUUUCAUUCAAAUUUUCUCUGACUUUGAGCAAGUAAAUGGAAGGGAAAACCUAAUUCUUAUUGGAUCUGGAGAAAUGGAACAUCUUAGUACGCAGGGUGUGCGACAUUUGCCAGAUGUUAUCCUAGAAUGUGUGCCUGAUGUAAAAAAUCACGACGAAUUGAAAACUCUGUGUCUAUUUUAAUAGCUUACAAAAAUCUUGAGUGGUGUCUCAAAAGGCUGUUAUAAGCGUGUCAAAAUCAAAUCAGUUGCAUUAAGAAAUCUAUAAUAGUUGUAAGGGUUCACAACUUACACUAACAUAAAUCUUACUAUCGUAAAUUUUACAUAUGAUCAACCCGUUGGCCUGUUUUUCUCCAAAUUUCCAUCAUAAACGUUUGUUUGUUUCCAUUUGCAAAGCAGGUUAUACGAAGUAGAAGUCAUAGGAACGAAGCCGCCUGAGCAAAAUUUGAUUAUUUUGUUGAGGAUGUCGCAAGUCAGAUUGAAGGUAAUUAACUUUUUGUCAGUUAACCUUGCUGCAACAGACCGAUUUACUCGCAUUUGAAUUGUCUCAUGAUCCGCCUGCUUGAGAAUUCUUUAAGUUAACUCUCGUUAAUAAGUUUAACUUAUAUUUCAUAUUUUCAACAAAUGUUCCUCUAAUAAUAGCGACACUAUUAUUAUUUGAUAGUUAGGUAAUCUUUUCUUGUUAGUAUUAUUUAUGCCUAUUGCUGCAAAGUUCCUUAAUUCCUUCUCAGGGGACGAACAUUUAUAGCAAUUUUUUGACAAAUCUUUUUCUUUUGGAAAUAAUCAACCUACAAUCCCUAAUAAAAAUUGAAAAUGAAAUGAAAAUAUAAUUUGAAUGUGAUACAUACCUUUUCAUUGAAAAUAAGGGGUUCGCCGCUUCGCCGCUCUGAACGAGGUCUAAGGCAACCAUGAUAUUUGUUUGUCAAGAAGAAGUUCGCUUAGCAGAAAUAUGCUAGAUUAUUUUGUAUAGAUUAAUUAUUCGUUGUGACCUUUGAAUUUUUAAAUAAUUUAAUACUUGUUUCUGCGGGAAUUGCUUGAAAAAUAAUAAAUAUAGGUAUAAUAAAAUUUUGACGCUUGGAAACUACUGAACAGAAAUCAAAACCCCGCUGUAUAUAUAUAUUUCGUAAAUACUUUCAAAAUAUAAUGUUUUUCAAAGUUUAACCGUGAAAAUGAAAGUCAGGUGAAAUUAGAAAAAUGAAAAGAAAAGUUGAUUAAUAUACAAUUUGUUAAAUUUAGUACUUACUAUCCAAAAGAUUUAUUUUUAUGUACCUCAAAUUUAAAUUUUCAUCUUAAUUACAGAGAUGAGUGCCCUAUAAAUUAACAAGCCCUUUAGAUAAUCCGAUAUAAUCAAAUCAGAUAUUGUUAAAAGGAAUAAAAAAUAACAAAUUUAGUUUAAGAUAUAUUGAAAUUAUCCACAAUUGUUAAAUGUUUUUGAGUUUACGGGAUACAAACAGGAUAUUCAUUUAUAACAAUUAUGAGUUCAAUUUAUUGUAGCAAUUUAAUAUGUUAUGAACAAGAAAUGUCAGGCAAUUGAAGCCACUUGAGCGAAUUCAACUUUUUGAGCAUUGCUGCUUUCUUUUUGUAAAUCGAUUAGAUAUCAUCAGCUAAUUUUGAAAAGAAGCAAGAAAGAUUUUAACCGUAUGUACAUACAACAUAUUCAAUAUGCCUAAAAGAAGGCAAUAAGAAAUCUAUGAAAUGACGAAUCCUAGAUAAAUGAAGUUUUGUAAUAAUAUACAUGCUUUUUAUAUAUAAUACAAUAAUUUCAAAAGAGUUCUGAAAAAAAUUAAAAAGUAUUACAUACACCUAUGAUGGAUAAACAUAAAACAAAUCGAAACGCCUUCUGGAAUACACGAUUAACUACAACAAAAUAUAUAUAUGCAUAUUCAUUUAAAUUCUUUGCAUGUACUCUUAAAUAAAAUUUGUUAUUAAAGUCUAUGCAAAAGGAAACUAUAAAUAUUGGACACAGGGUAUUUCACGCGAUUAUAAUUGAAAUUAUCUUACCUACAUUUGCUUUGCAAUAAAAUAAAAUUCAAUUAUUAUGUUUUCCAUAAAUAUUUAAAAUAAAUUUACUAUUCUGCUGUUUUUCUAUCAAGGUUAAGUAUGUCUGGUUUAUAAAGAUGUACUGCCACGAAAUGAGUUCUGUAAAGACUCGUCCCAGAAAAAUUUUGACUUGUAGGUAAAAUAAGAAUAACACAAACGCUAUGUCAAUGGAAUACAUCAGUAAACCGCAAAGGAAGGGAAAAUGAAUCAAUUUAUUUUGGCGAAAAUAUAUUCAAAUUCGUCCCUAUAAAGAGACAAUUGACUCGAAAACAGAAUAAACAAAAUUGUACUGCCAAUGUUUUACGCCAUCCUAAUAUUGCAUAUGGGUAGGGAAGUUAUCGAUGGUAGGUUCGAAGAAUCCAAUCGAAUAUUUUUUUUAUGUUAUUAUUUGGGUCUUGAUUUUUUUUUCAAUUGACCAAUUUGAUAAUUGAUUGUAUUUGUUUUUACGGUCACAAUUGGAUUAGUGGUGGGAAGCACAUCUCCGUUUGUAGUUAUCUGAAACCAAAACGGUUUCUUAUUUUGUAUACUUGCCUCUAUCAUCCGAACUACGAUAAUAAUUUUAGCAUAAAAUGGUGGAGUUGUAAAAUUGAGUGAAUUUCCCAUUGAAGAUCCAGAAUAAAAAUAAGAAAUUAUUAAUUAGAAAACAUAAUCGUGGUUCGGACUAUGGAUGUGUAGAAUAUUGUGUAAAAAUUUCAGCCAGUUCGGUGGAACAAAGUUGUAGUUAAGCUUCCCACCAUUUCAAAAAAGGUUUUGAGAAAAACAUGUUUAAAGAUUUCGUUUUGUAUUCACACAACAUGAUUUGUGCUCUUGCAUUUGCUAUAACUUAUUAAAUGUUUUAUAUUUCCGUCUGAAAGAUGCAAUACACUCGCAACUCGUACAUUCAAUAUAUAUAAAAAUGAAAAAAUCGAUUUCUGGAAGCCGUCAGAUAGGAAAGCCCCCUUAACAUAGCGUAUACCUAAAAUCACUUUAAAAUUUUAAAUCAAUUUUUUAGAAACAGGCCAAAUAAAUAAAAGGAAUAUACCAAAAUUAAAAACGGGUCCGAUUGCCGGAAACUGGAUGCUUCAGUUAUAAAGGUUUUGUGUUUAUGCUGUGUAGAGAACUUUCUAUGCAUAUUUUUUCUAUACAUAGCCAAAAAAUUAAAAUAUUCCUUCAUUUAUUUCCAAACUCUACUAUAUAUUUAUGUACAUAUUAAAGGCUUAUAUAUUAUGCAAUGCUUGCCUACUAAAGUAUACUGAUGCGUAAAUGUACGCGUGUAAAUUGAUUUUAAGCAACUGAUUAUAUCCGACUUACCAGUUGGGCAAAAGCAUAUACAUAUAAAUAUCUCCAUAAAUUGGGUACCAUGGAAUCUUGCGCCACCGAUUAUUAUUAUUACACAAAUAACUAAGAAAGGAAAACUAAGAUGUUCCCCGCGGAAUUCGUUCGUUCGCUUUAUUUUGGCACUGAUAUAUUGAUAUAUUAUGUUUAUCUCAGAUGAUAUACACAUCGCAAAGUGCAAUAAAUUCUCAUGAAAUAUAAAAUUUUGACCUUCUAGAACUUUGUUAAUAAUAGUUUAAUUUCAUUUAAACUUUGCAUAAUGAUGUCUUCUAUUAUUACUUAUACUGAUGCCAAAUUCUGUACUCAGUUUGAACUUGAAGGGGUAUGCUAUUAUUAACUUUAUUUGAGCAUAUAUCGAAACGGAAUAUAUUUUCGUUUCAGAUCUAGAUUCCUUAAAGAUAAACACGGGGGGGGGGGGAUUUUUCCAGGUUUACAAGUCGAAUAGGUCUGGUUUUUAGACCUGUUUCGGUUUUUGGGGUAUAUAUUGUGAAGCAAAAUGAAACCACUCAUUGCAUGUAAAGGGUUUCACACACCAGCACAAAUCGAAAAAAAGUUCCUUAAAAUCCUUUCCUUCAUCAAGUUUACUAUCGAGUCCCAACCAGGCUUUCAUACUUUAUAAGGCAAGGAAAAAUAAUGACGAUACCGCACAGUAACAUCAGGUUGAAAAAUAUAAGCCGCUCAAUACUUCAACAUCCUACCAGUAGUCUCAUUUUUGAUAAUGUAAAUACUUCUGUAUUAUGUGGAAAUGAUUGAACGGUUUUUCUUUUUUACUAGUAUUUUAUUUGAGACAAUAUUUACCGAAAUUUCGGGAACUACCUGUUCCCGUUUUUAGUGGUUUACGGUUUAUGCGUUUUCUCCCGAAGAACAAAAACAGGCAGUUUUUAUCAAAUUGGAAAAAUUUCAAACGAAAGCAAAAAAGGAAAUGGUAAUCCUUUUUCUCGUUAGUGCUUUGAGAGGCACUAAAAUAAACUAUUAAACCUCACGUGAAAAAUUUUUUUUUGUUCUUAGACUUUUGGAAUUUUGGUUUAGAUAUUACAUGCAUGCAAAAAACUUUAUCCUCUUGAAAAUUACUGAUGUAAUCCAAGAAGUUAUUGUAGUCUUAAUAUGACAGAUUUCCUGUGUAGAAAUUUAAUUUAUUUACUCCGUGGUAAGUUGAGCUGAGACUUGGUGGGGUGAAGUGGCUCACUGUGACUUUUUGAGCCGCAGUUUUCACUGGUGACGCAAUUGUGGUUGACUAUAGCUAAAAACUGGUUGCACGUUUUCAAUGAAGUUUGCGCUGGUGUUUACUUUGUAUUACUUUGUAUUAUGUUAAUGAAUUUGAUAGGCAGCAUUUUAAUGCUGAUUUUAAUCAGGCGUAACGAAGAACGGAUAUUACAGCAAAGUUUCAAGUAGCUCACUUAAGUAGACUAUUAUCUGCAAAGCAAAUGUAUUUAGGAUCACUUAAAGUAAAAUUAUAAACAAAUGAACAUGUUUAUUGUAUAUCUACGAAAUUUGAAAGCGAAACAAUAAGCGUAGAAGCAACUAGAAGAGUAAGACUUAAUCAAGAAGUAAAUAAAUAUUUCACUGAGAGGUAGUAUUCAUGAUAUUAUGAACUAUGGACUCCUACCACUGAGAAGUACGUUAUUGUAUGAGCAUUAACGGAAUAAAGUUUAGCUUUGGGAGAAACUCUCAAAACCAUUAUUUGGUUCGUUUAUAUUUUCUUAUAUUAUAAGAGUGAGUAUUUUAGAGCAGCUCUACAUUGGACUAUAAAUCAAGUUUUAAAAAAUAUUACCUGACAUGAUUGGGAUGGUUUUAUAACUUCAUAAAUAUUUGAUAGCAUCUACAAUAUUAUACUCGAACUAAUAUUUAUAUAUUUAUUUAAUAUUGUGAUUGAAUAUUACAUAAACUUUAUGCAUUGCGUCAUUUCUGCCAAAAUGAACGAAUUAUCAAAGUAAAUAUGCAAUACAGAUGAAAAACUUUGAAUUUGGAUAGUCUAAUAUAUUAAAAUAUAGCAUAUAUUUUGAAGUGUGAAAACUUUAAUUUAGUUCACAAAUCAAAAAGAGAAUGCGAAAUCAAAAUUUCACUCACACAUUAAAGGCGAAAAGUAUCCAAAUUAUAUUAACUAAGUAAGACUAAGGGUAAAUAACAUUUCCACCGAUUAUAUAAAACAAUACACAGCACUACUUUUGCUAGUAUUAGAAAUAUAUCAAUUUUGGGCUACCAUGCAGUUACCAUUUAAGCAGUAAAAACGAUAUGGCUAGAAAGCGAAUUUAUAUUAACAUGUUUGGAAAAAAUAUACAGAUUCGUUCUAUUUUUUUUUCAUUUUAGAUAUUUUAAUGAAACGUACCAGAAAAUGAUCUGCUUUUAAGCAAACAAUAGGGAAUAUAACAUUAGAAUGAUCUAUAUAAAUAUAAGAAAUAUAAAAUCUCAAAUCUACUUUUAAUAGAUAUGAAAAGCGAAUAGAACAAUUAUUUUUAAAGUUGAAAAAAAAAGUAUUUAUAAAAAUUUAAUAUAUAUUUAUUUGAAAUAAACAAAUUGAAAUUUACAAAAAAUUGAACAAACUAUUUAAUACGAAACAUAAAGGUUUUUAGCAAGUAACCAAAAACCUAAACUAAAAACAAUUGAAAAUUAUAUAUAAGCUUAAAUAUUUUGUCAUACAUACAUGCGUACACUGUUAUUAGUUCUAGAAUGACAACCACGAAUAGUGUUACGAAAAUUAUUCCGUUCUAUAUAUUUUUACAGCAGAAGAAUAUUUCUGAACACGCCAUAGACGUAAAAGUAAUAACAGAACUGACAUUCAAAUAGUAUAUGAUGGUUAGGUAUUAUGAUUAUAAGAUACCGAUUACUAACGACCUAUAAAUUUUAGUUAGCAGUGAAUCCAACAUUUGAACCGUACUAAUGAAACUGUUAUCAAUAAAAGUAAAACAAUUAAGUUAUUGUA